UGGAUUUGUUAUAAUUUCUAUGUAAUCCUUAAUUAAUUAAUCUAGUCAAAAUGGGUUUUGUUUUUUCUAAUUUUAAAAUGGGAAGAAAUUCUAGCAAAAUAAAGAUGACCAUUUCUUCCAAAGGAGGUCAUUCCCAUUCCACCUCUCUCUUUUCUCUCUCUCCCACCCAAUCCAUUAUCACAAACUUUUUAUGGCAACGAGGAAUUCCAUGGAAUCAUGCAUAUUUAAAUCCUCAAACCAAUCAAAUAAACUCAAAAGUUAUAUGAUGGCUAUGCCGGUCCAUCCCUACACUUUAAUUUGGACAAUUACAGGGUCGUCCAUGAGAGCCUUAUAUUAGAUUAGAGGCUGGGCUGGAUCCACAGGGAAGCGUCCGUACAUGGUUGUUCUGAAAUUCACAAUGUCGUUGCUUUCUGGGAAUUGGGUCUCUCGAAGUUUCUUGGUUGGUUCUUCCGUAGGUGUGCAAUCUCUAGCUCUGCACCUGAUGAGAUAGCGCAAAACCAGCAUGAAACAAUGGGAAACAAGUCCUUCACAAAAACAGGGACAUGGAUUGCAAGAAGGCUGCUCAAAAGGAAUACAAAAUGGAAAGACCAGAUUAGUGAUAAAUCAAUGAAAAAUCUUUACAUUGUUGCAUUUAACUGCAAUUCCUAACUUUACAGGGUAUGUGGUGGGAAAAAAGAAAAAAAAAAAAAAAACUCUGAAUAAAUAAACAACUUCAAUUCCAA